rnacentral:rRNA from 1 species
GACGAACCGUGCGAACGUUUUUCGGAAUCACUGGGCUUCAAGGGUGCGUAGGCGGGUUGUCCAGUCUGGGGUGAAAUCCCACGGCUCAACCGUGGAAUUGCCUCAGAUACUGACGACCUCGAGGGAGGUAGGGGCUAGCGGAACUGUGGGUGGAGCGGUGAAAUGCGUUGAUAUCCACAGGAUCUCCGGUGGCGAAGGCGGCUCGCUGGACCUCUUCUGACGCUGAGGCACGAAAGCUAGGGGAGCAAACGGG